GACACUUUGGCCGAGUGGUUAAGGCGAUGCCCUGCUAUUUCUCUCACGGAUUUAUCAUAGGCAUUGUGUUCGCACGCGCAGGUUCGAAUCCUGCAGGUGUCG